UCAAGGUCUGAAGGGUUAGUACUCAUAAAGAGGUCCUGGAAAUACUCCACAACUAAGUGGCCUUUAGCACCUUCAGAAAAGUGUUCAAAGUCUCUUUCAUCUUUCAACAUUAGAAUGUUGUUUCUGAUUUUUUUUCCUUUAACAACAUUAUGAAAGUAAGAUUUGUUUUUAUCACCUUCUCUAAGCCACUGCUCUCAACUUCUUUGUCUCCAGUAUCUAACAACAAUGUAAAUGUUUUGCUUAAUUACUACUUAUAUGACUAUAUUAUUAACCACAUUUAUCGAUCGGCCAAAUAAUAUAAAUCCAAAUAUUGUAAUAUUUUAUACAUCUAUAUGCAAAGGUUUUUUCUUUCGGAACAAUAAAAUGGACUUAUAUAUCACUUUUACAAAAAAAUUACGAGAGUUAUACUGGAACUUAAACAUACUUUCUGAAGAUGGCUUAAUCUCACACUUCUUCAGAAGUCCGUCGACGGCUUUUAGUUCUCCAUAUAAUUUUGAUCAACGCUUUGGGGCCCAUGUGAUGACUACAUCAAGAUUCCGAUUAUUAUCUAUCCAAUUAAUUUUAUUUCGCCUAUUUAAAAUACCAUGGAAAAAUAACGAGCUAUAUAUACCCAUUACCCAACGCAACCACUUGAAGAAUUAUUCGAUUUUAGUUUGGGUUGUAAUUCCUCCUUUCUCCCACAUGAUGUCAUUCUCUUGUAACUCUUAUGUACAAAAUCACGCCCCUUUUGAUCAUCACGAUGAUGAUGUUGAUAUUGAUCAUCAUGCUAGUGAUCAUCAAGAGGAGAGUGGAUGGACAACUUAUCUCGAAGAUUUCUCAAAACAAUACAGAAAUCACUGGGAAGAUAGCGAUCAUCAAGACAAGAGUUCGUGUUCGCUUCUUGGCGUCUCUCCUUCUCUGGUCUCAGAUGCCGCCACUGACGCCUUUUCCGGCAAGAGUUUUCCAGUUAAAUUUUCGGCGAAGUUGAAGUUUGGGAAAGCAAGAACCAAAAAGAUUUGUGAGGAUGAUUCUUUGGAGGACACGGCUAGCUCUCCGGUUAAUAGCCCUAAGGUCAGUCAGUCUGAACAUAUCCAGACGCCACCUAGAAAACAUGACUACUAUGUCUCUUCUAGUUUCGUUAUGAGAAAUACGAGAGGCAUGGAGGAUCAUCAAAUCCAAAUCAAAGAAGCGGAUGGACAAAAUAUGAGUAUGAUGGGGAAUCUCAGAGAAGGAAACUGAUCUGCAUAUUGGGCUUGAGAAUAUCAAUUGUGGCCCACUAGUUUCUACAAACUCCACCUUGGGCCCAAAUGAUUUCUUCUCCUCGUGUCUCCUUCCUUUGGUAUCAUCGACGUCGUCUAGAGCUCUCUUCUUUCUUCCAUGGCGACUCUUACGAUGAUGGCGAUUCCAAAAUGAUGAUGGCAUUUAAUCGUACAGAUCCUUCGUCAAGGAUCUCCGAUCCACCACUGCAUCUCCCCUUUUAAGGAUUCCGGCUCAGCUCCUUCGUAUCUCUGUCUCGUGAACCCACCACCGAGGUUUCUUCGGCGGCGCCUCUCACUCCGAUCCUCACCUAUCAUGAGAGAAGAUCGCGACUUCUUCUUUCUUUUUUUUUUUUUUUUUUUUUUUUUUUUUAGCCAUCGGAGAUGAUAAUUUCACCGAAAAUAUGACGUCCCCUUUUUUCGCUUCGCAGGCGCAAUUUGUAUGCGUCUCCUUUGCUGUAUCAACGACUCAUGUCUCCCUUCAGCUUUGUUUUUAGCUGUUUAAGACAUUCCUAUGUCGUUAAUCUUUAUCCGUCGAUCCACCGAGCCUCUUUGUUACCGCUUGAGCUGCUCCACCUCGAGCUGAGAACUCCUUUCCUUUAGAACUCCUUGCCUCGCAUCUUCCUAGCAGGUAACUUCCUUGUAACCAUUGAGCUUCCUUGUUAUCGAUAAGAAGUAACUUGUUUGCUCUAACCUUAUUACUUCUUCUUGUGCGAGGUGUAUCGAUAACGAAGUUACCUGCCGUGCUGGUUUCUCAAGCUAUCUUGAGGAGUUCACAACAGAGAUCAAACUUUUGCCCUGACUUUCUGGAGUUGAUGGAGCUCCCCAUAAAUCUGAAUGUAUGUACUCGAGAAUGCCUUUAGUGGUGUGCUUUGCAGCGGGGAAGCUCUGCUUAUGAGAUUUUCCAAGGACGCACGUCUCACAGAACUCAAACUUGUCCACUUCCUUUUUCGGUAAAUACGAUUCGGCAAGGACGUCUCCGUGUACAGCGUGUUGAGAGCUGUCCACAUCGCAGCAGCCGUAUCACAGUUGCAGAUCUUUCUUAGGACUUGGUUUCCUACAUUCACAACAAUGAGAUCUUUCGCUUUCUCUGAUUUCCCGAGCUUGACGGGAUCAAUGGUAGGGAUAGCUUCAGCUUCUUUCUUCUCCGUGUCCUUCAAGGAUCUGCAUAUUGGGCUUGAGAAUAUCAAUUGUGGCCCACUAGUUUCUACAGAAACAACAUAAACGACUUGAGGAGUCGAGGAUUAUGCGUCGUCCCUAUUUCCAUGUUGGCUAACUUUAAUGGUCGCUUCUGACUAAUAAUCAAUUCGGAUUAAAGCAGCCUUAUAAAUUUGGCGGUGUUUAUAUAUGCACCCAUCGAUCUUGUAUAUACUUGCUUGUUGUAUGUUCACUGGUAUGUGCUUAAUGACAUGUUCACUGGUAGGUAUUCACUGGUAUGUGCUUAAUGACAUUUGUAUGGUAUGUUUAAAUCUAUAUAAGUGUAAGUCGCUGGGAUAUAUGUUAAAGUAUACAAUAUGCAUUUCUAAGAGCUA